GAGCCCCACCACUAAGCCAGUGGUGAACUCCACAUACGCAUCCUUUGCUGAGGAUACGGUUAACGGAGCGAAAGCGACGUUCAACCUCAAAAGAAGCAGAGGGGGCUUAGUGGUGGGGUGACUGCGUACCUUUUGUAUAAUGGGUCAGCGACUUAUAUUCUGUAGCAAGGUUAACCGAAUAGGGGAGCCGGAGGGAAACCGAGUCUUAACCGGGCGUUAAGUUGCAGGGUAUAGACCCGAAACCCGGUGAUCUAGCCAUGGGCAGGUUGAAGGUUGGGUAACACUAACUGGAGGACCGAACCGACUAAUGUUGAAAAAUUAGCGGAUGACCUGUGGCUGGGGGUGAAAGGCCAAUCAAACCGGGAGAUAGCUGGUUCUCCCCGAAAGCUAUUUAGGUAGCGCCUCGUGAAUUCAUCUCCGGGGGUAGAGCACUGUUUCGGCUAGGGGGCCAUCCCGGCUUACCAACCCGAUGCAAACUGCGAAUACCGGAGAAUGUUAUCACGGGAGACACACGGCGGGUGCUAACGUCCGUCGUGAAGAGGGAAACAACCCAGACCGCCAGCUAAGGUCCCAAAGUCAUGGUUAAGUGGGAAACGAUGUGGGAAGGCCCAGACAGCCAGGAUGUUGGCUUAGAAGCAGCCAUCAUUUAAAGAAAGCGUAAUAGCUCACUGGUCGAGUCGGCCUGCGCGGAAGAUGUAACGGGGCUAAACCAUG
rnacentral:rRNA from 1 species